AUCAUACGCACCACUGAUGUCUACAAUUUCCCUGCUGUUGCUUUGUUUAGUGGCAUCACCUACUGGGGAUCCCUCGUUAACAUCAGUGCUGGCUCUCUGACUGUUGCUGCUCAGAAUAAACUUCAUUUGUGUGUGGUGAAAGCUUCUCUUGUAAUGAAUGUGCUCAGUUCCAUAACUGCAGGACUUGCCAUUCUUCUGAUAGGCAUGGAGUUAGGCCUUGGCUCAGAGACCAGCAAGUAUCGAAGUUGCUUCUAUAUGGCUAUGUUCGUACUGAAGACCAAAUGUGUUCAGUUUUUUGAGAGAUAUGAUCUGGGAAUCCUUGGAAUAUUGCUGGUGUUCUCCAUCCUUCAGUUCAUCAUCGCCAUCUUUAUCUCAGCAUUUGCCUGCA